CAAAAGUGCUAGUGUGAAAGACAUUUUAAAUUCAAUUCUGAAUGUUGCGCAACCCAGCAGCAUACGUUGUGCUGUGGAUUCCCAGCAGGAUUCUAACUAGGUUAUCCAGCAAUAUGUGAAAGAGCAUGCUAAGAUGGCCUUUUCAGCACGGUCAGACACACAUGUGGUUUCUUCAAUCCAAAGGUUUCCCAUCUCUCACAGCUCGAGGGGCAUUGAGAGCCCCGUUAGGCAGCAGCGGACUGAAUAAAACAUGCUUUGUGCCAGAGAGUGAUUGUUUCCACUGUAAUAUUGAUUUGAUUGAGGCCGGAGAUGUCAUUUACUGGCGAAAUUUUGAGUGAGGGUUCUGUUGCGAAAUGAAAACACUACACUAAACAGAUUUGAGAUGGGACGGCAACGCACUUAUGUGAUUUGAUGAGACAAAGAUGAGAUGGAGUGGAGUAUCUUGGGAAUCAAGAAAACCCCAGUGGUUACAAGCAUAUGUGUGUCUGCAGGGGCCCCAGUCCCUCCGUAAUUUGACAAGGACAACAGCAUGAAGAAAAUAGUGAAGAAGCACAUUGUUAUUAUCUCUAUUCCAAAACCUAGAGAGGUGCCUACUGCUACUGUAGGCAUCUGGCUUCUAAAACAUUGGCAUCUGGUAUCCUAACUGUCAUGGAACCUCAUAAGUGACUCCUUUGGCAGACUCUACAUUAUACUGUAUAUUUAUAUAGCAUCUUUCCAAAGCUCAAGGUCGCUUUCAAGAAAAUAAAAAAUAAAUAAAUAAAAACAUAAUAGCAUAUUGGCACAACGCAAAAUAGUAGCACAUACUUCAUUACAAAUUUUAAACUGGAAUAUGCUGGAAUGUGUGUGUGUGUGUGUGUGUGUGUGAGAAGGAUCGAUGCAAUGCUCCCUUUGAAUUAGGAUAAAAUGAGGUAUCAUAUAAAGACAGCAUUAUAAAGUUGGCUACCUUUCUGUACAACUUUCAUGCCACCUAUGAUGAAAUGUCCAAAAUGCUUACCACAGGCAGCUAAAUAGGUUUUGAAACAGAGCAAUUAUGUUUCUGCCAUCGCAUGAUGAGAUAUCCUGCAAUCUGGAUUUUAUGGGCUGAAUUGAGCAAGCAUUUUGUGGCAGCUCUUAUUUAGAAGAAAAACCUGGACAAAAAUGAAAGCCACAGAAUUAGGGAUCCCGCAUCUGGUUCAAUUACAUGUAGUGACAUCUUGUGCGUCAUAAACAACGCAGUGCAUUUAUUGUUAAAGUAAGA
ensembl:lncRNA